UAAAGAAAUCCCUAAUUUCAAAAGCCAUAAGGGAAUUUAUCACGGCUCAGUGCUCCCAUUCUCAAAAUUGCUCAAGUGCGUUGUGCGUGCCCAUUGUUGUCGCCGACUCGCCUUCGUUGGUCCUCUUUGCAAAUCGCUUGUCGAUAUUCGCCUGUCAUGGCAGCCACGAUAAGGUGGAUUGGAUCGACUUUGUGAAUCAAAAAUCAAUGAAGCAGUUUUUUUUCCAAAGUACCAAAAUCAAGUUUGGCCGCUCCUCAUAAUCAAUCUAACUUGGAAGAAGAUGCAGCACCAAAAUCAAAUUUGGCCACUAAUGAUUAAUCUAAUUUGGAUGAAGAUGACAACCAAUUGGAAGUACCACUGCAUUCUUCUCAAAGACAGCAAAUUAAUCUUGAAACUUUAAACCCCGAUCCGGCUGAAAGAACUCAAAUCUUGAACUCAAAUCCGGCUGAAAGAACCAAUUGGAUGUACCACUGUUUGUGUGGUAGACUGAUUACGUCUAGAGUUAUACGCUUCUUUAUAUUUGUUGCUCUGGGCGUUAUUGGAUUCUCUAGUUCAUUGGUGAGCCAAUAAGUUUUUUUGUUUCUUUACGAGUCAACUCGAGAAUUGAAAUAAUUUUCAUGGAUGCCGAAACUAGAUAUAUUACCAGUUUUGUGUAUGUGUCCCGUUGUGUAUAGACUUGAUUUUGAUGACUAUUAAUAGGGGACUUCAUUUGUCAUGGCUUUUUGCACCUAUGAAAGUUUGGGAGAGGGUGGUGGAAGUGAGGGUGAGGGAGAGGGAGAUGGUGUCUAUAUCCGACAACCAACUCGGGUUCAUGCCGGGUCGUUCGACUACAGAAGCUAUUCACCUUAUUAGGAGGUUAGUGGAACAGUACAAGAUAUGAAGAAGGAUUUGCACAUGGCAUUUAUUGACCUGGAGAAAGCGUAUGACAAGGUCCCAGGGAAGUUCUCUGGAGAUGCCUAGAAGCUAAAGGUGUGUAGGUAGCUUACAUUAGAGUGAUCAAGGACAUGUAUGAUGGAGCUAAGACUCGGGUUAUGACUGUGGGAGGCGACUCAGAUCAUUUCCCGGUUGUUAUACACCAAGGAUCGGCGCUUAGCCCGCUCUCAUUUUCCUUAGUGAUGGAUGCACUGACACACCAUAUUCAAGGGAAGGUGCCAUGGUGUAUGUUAUUCGCUGAUGACAUUGUUUUGUGAUCUAAGGGUUGUGAGCACCUAAUUUUUUAUCGUGCUUGAAUAUUUUUCGCUCACAUCUUCCCACGCGUGUUCCCACUCUUUGUCCCCCACGCUUGUCCCCCAUGCUUGUCUCUCACACUUUGUUCCUCACUCACAAAAUCAGUCCCUAUUUUCUGCUCAAAAGAGGAAGCAAAAAUAGCCCUCAAGAUCGACCAAAAAAUCAGCCAAAACACAACUAAAAAUUGCUCCCUAAAAUCAGCUCAAAUCCCACCCCCAAACGGGCAGAAAAAGGAGGUGCAAACAGCUACAAAUCUCGACCUCCUCAACCCAAAAACGAGACUAAAAAUAGCCAUGAAAAAGCCACCCACCUCCAGCUCGUUUUCAGCCAUGAAAAGCUGAAAUUUCAGCUCGAAAAUGGCAGCCAAAAAUGCUGUUAAAAACA